UACGGAGGGUGCAGGCGUUGAUCGGAAUUACUGGGCGUAAAGCGCACGCAGGCGGUUUGUUGCGUCAGAUGUGAAAUCCCCGGGCUCAACCUGGGGACUGCAUCCGGGACGGGCAAGCUUGAGUCUGGUAGAGGGGGGUAGAAUUCCAGGUGUAGCGGUGAAAUGCGUAGAGAUCUGGAGGAAUACCGGUGGCGAAGGCGGCCCCCUGGACGAAGACUGACGCUCAGGUGCGAAAGCGUGGGGAGCAAACAGG
rnacentral:rRNA from 1 species